AGGGGGAGGAGCCCCGGAGAACCGGAAGCGCCGGGUACGGCGAGCGCGCGGGGUCCCGCGGCAGUGCCUGCGCGCUCGGGGCGAACCCCGCGCCGACUUCGAGAGGCCGCUGCAGCUCCUCCUCCGGCCUGAGGGGGCAGACCGACUCCUACGUGAGGCGGGGCGAAAGCGGCGGGGAGAGAUCGCUCUGAUAAGGGCGGGGCCACACUGCGGGAGGAGUCACGUUGAGGGGCGGGGUCACCAUGACCGGCGGGGUCGCUCCGAGAGGCGGGGUCUCCCUGCGUGGGAGGAACCCUCGGAGGAGGGGUGUAGCACCCAAGGGCUCCAGCGACCCCGAUGGUGGUGCUGUCCUACUGGGGAAAGGUCCCUCCGAGGGGCCGGGCCUCCGCGGGGAGGGGCUCCUGGAGGGGCGGGGUCUUGCCGAGGGUGGGACCUCGCCGAAGGAGGAGUUCGCCUGCAGUGGGAGGCGGCUCUGUGGAGAGAGGGUCGUUGGGAAGGAGGAGAGGGAGGGAGGUCCGGGUGGAGGGUCGCUGGGCGGAGGCACUGGAGGGAGAACUUUAUUCGAGGGGGGCGGGAUGGAGUGAGGAGGAGCCGGGGCUGGCUGGCCGAGGGCCCACCGCGGCCCCCGGGCACCACGACCGCCCGCGAAGGUAGAAGGCGUCGGGGGUGCAGAGGUUGCAGGAGUCGGGCGGAGACCGGGAAUGGGCAGGCGGCGCCAGGGCGGACGCCGGGGCGGUGGGCAGGUGGCCGGGCCUGAGCGGGCUUCUGCUCUGCCCCGCUCCUCGGUGGAGCGCAGACAGCGGGCGGCUCCCUGAGCCCGGCCCUCCGCCGCCAGUGCCCCGAGGGCGGGGAGAAAGGACUCCCAGGGCGGCCGGCGACGUUCGAGCUGCGCGUACGCACAAUCAGCCCCCGUUCCAUUCAGUUGUUCAGCUCGAACCUGCACGUGCUUCUCCCGACGCCGCAGCCCCCGCGGUCGCGGCCACCGGUCGCGGCGUGCGCACCUGGGGGGCGUGGCGCUGCCCCGAGGCCAGGCUCGAAGGAGUUAAGCGGAGGCCCGGCCCCGCCCCGCCCCCAGCAGGCCGCGGAGCCUGAGCCCCAGCGGCGAAGCGGAGAGCCGCC
rnacentral:lncRNA from 1 species